UACGUAGGGUGCAAGCGUUGUCCGGAAUUAUUGGGCGUAAAGAGCUCGUAGGCGGUUUGUCGCGUCGAAUGUGAAAACCCGGGGCUCAACCCCGGGCCUGCAUUCGAUACGGGCAGACUAGAGUUCGGUAGGGGAGUCUGGAAUUCCUGGUGUAGCGGUGAAAUGCGCAGAUAUCGGGAGGAACAUCAGUGGCGAAGGCGGCUGCCUGGCCCAAUACUGACACUCAGGUGCGACAGCGUGGGGAGCAAACAGG
rnacentral:rRNA from 1 species